UACAGAGGGUGCAAGCGUUGUUCGGAAUUACUGGGCGUAAAGCGCGUGUAGGCGGUUUGAUAAGUUGGGUGUGAAAUCCCUCGGCUCAACCGAGGAACUGCAUUCAAAACUGUCAGACUAGAGUAUCGGAGGGGGUGGCGGAAUUCCCGGUGUAGAGGUGAAAUUCGUAGAUAUCGGGAGGAACACCUGUGGCGAAGGCGGCCACCUGGAAGAUUACUGACGCUGAGACGCGAAAGCGUGGGGAGCAAACAGG
rnacentral:rRNA from 1 species